UGGAAAGUUAAUGAACAUGGGUUUCAGUGAAGAGCAGGUCACUGAAGCUCUUCGUUGCAGUGGAAAUAAACAGAGUAGUGCUUGUGAAUUGCUUUUAAGCAACCGUUCAACAAUGCCAGAUGACCAAGGAUUAGAACGAGAUUCCCCAAUUAUCUCAGCCAUUCUUGCGUCUCCUGUUAUACAACUGGCAUUACCAAAGCAAAAACACUUUUAGCUCUGAUGAUGUUGUUUGAAAGCCCUAAUAAUGCGAAUAUGUGGUUAAGUGACCCAGACACACCCCAGUUGUUAGCCAAGUACUGAGGAUUUACCAUGCAGAAAAGCAUUGUCUAAGUCACAAUCGUCCUCUAGCUUCAUCAGGACCAGUUGAUCCACCAGUUGUUUCACACACUUUAGGGAUAAUAAGAGUUGGCACUUCUGUGAAUCCACCUCCACUCCAGCAGUCACAGUUUGCCAGUGUAACAUACACUCAGCCAUUUCCCCUUGGCAUAAGAAGUGCUAGUAGCAAUGGCAUGACAGGCAUGAGAAGCACUAGCAGUAGUGGGAUGGCAGUUGACCAACCGUCGCAUUCAGUCACCAUGUCACCUGUAGCUAUGCGAAGAUCAUCAGCAGGACCAUUACCUUCUAAUCUGCACAUGAUUGCCUCUUCAAGUCCUCCAAACAUUCAUAACUUACCAGCUGUUCGACUAAACCCAGAAGAAUCGAUGUCUCUCUCAGGGUCGCCAGUCCGGGCACGAGGUGGAGCUCGCAGCCUUUCUGACCUGACAGGGAGUCAGCCAAACUCCAG